rnacentral:lncRNA from 1 species
AACUUUCAGGUGCCCAGACUGUCUCUGAAAUCCUGUAGUAACACAACAUCUAAUGCCUCAAAAAAGCAGCAACAGAACUAGUCCAGAUAUUCCCUCCAGAAGCAUGGCACAGACCAUAGCUCAUAUCUCAAAAAGUUGAAUGGGCAAACAAACAAACAAACAAAAAAAACUCCAUCAUAUCGAGCUACUUUAGUGGCAGGAAUAUUCUAGACAUAAAUGUAUAAUAAAAAAAAAAUUGACUCUAAAAUGUGUCAUUUGCAAGAACAAAUCCCCAAAAUCUAAAAGACUUUUAGAAAGAAAUUUAUUGAAAGAAAUCAUGCCAUGGUAAGGGAGAGUGAGCUAACAGGAAAGCAUGGCUCCUUUUGUCCAGGUCCUGAGAGUUUACUUUAUAUGGAAUUUAGACAAGGUUGACUACACACAUUGACACAUACACAGUUGAGCAAUUUUGUCAGCUUGAAAGAAAGGCAGAUUGAGAUAGAUAUUAGCCAAUACAAGCAUUUAAUAUAUUUGGGAGGAAGCCAAAACACAAGCUUAAGUGAACCCCAAACAGGAUCUGGGUGUGGGACCUGAAACAAGAAUGUUUUGAGUGGAUCCAGGACCUGAGGGAACCCAAAAUACCUUGUAGCCAUCUCCAUCCAGCAUUCCUGGAGAGUUAUGGAUAUUAAGAUUUCUCUUUCAGCCUAUUAAUGGCAUUGUCCACAUCAGGUAUAGGUUCAAGUAAAACUAGGAAGAACAAGUGAUAUGGAGAAAUUGGAACUCUCAGAAAUUUCAGAAGUCUGAAGCAGGAGCAUGCCAUGUCGAGGGACCUCUCUCCCUUUGGCACAGCUGCCUACCAGGACCCCUGUCUGCUGUGAAGAGACACCCUCUUCUCAGUUUUAACACCCCCGUUUAUCUCUCUGCCAGGAUUUCUCUGCUAGGACCUUUAUCUUCUAGCAAAAGCUGACUCCUGCAGUACCAAUAAUAAACUCCCUUUUUUGCCACUUAAACUCUUCAGGUUUGUGGAUUCUUUCACGUUGAACCUUUGCGCCGACCAGAAGGGGUUCCCACAACUCUCUGAUUGCCA